rnacentral:misc_RNA from 1 species
GAUGAAGAACGUAGCGAAAUGCGAUACUUGGUGUGAAUUGCAGAAUCCCGUGAACCAUCGAGUCUUUGAACGCAAGUUGCGCCUCAAGCCAUUAGGUUGAGGGCACGUCUGCCUGGGCGUCACAUAUCGUUGCCUGAUGCCAGUUUCCUCGUGAUGGGUGACUGUGCAGGGCGAAUGAUGGCUUCCCGUGAGCAUUGUUGCCUCAUGGUUGGUUGAAAAUUGAGUCCUUGGUAGGGAGCGCCGUGAUAGAUGGUGGUUGAGUGACGAACGAGACCCAAUCAUGUGAGACCCUACCGAAUUUGGCCUUCAUGACCCACAUGCGUCUUUGGAACGUUCAUGACGAGACCUCAGGUCAGGCGGGGCUACCCGCUGAGUUUAAGCAUAUCAAUAAGCGGAGGA